AUGAGGAGUGCGGUGGUGCGGCUGCUCGUGCGGUGGCCUCAGAAGAUGGGCGUUGACACCUGCAGCUUGUGCACAAUGGUGACUCCACGCAUCUCCUGCGCCCCGCAACCCUCUCCUUCCCGGCACAAGAGGGACAGGAGCAAGGAUGCCGAGGCGGUUCAGUCGCAAGAAAGAGUAGGAAGAUCAGGCAGAGAGUGUUUCACAUACCCCUUCUACACUGACAAGUCUUUGCUUUUCAGGAUUGCCAUGGGAGCUUUGGAUGGCGGUCUUGAUAUUGCGCACAGUGACAAGAGAUUGCUGGCUUCAAGAAGGAUAAGAAGCAGCUGGGCACUAAGAUUCACCGCAAAUACAUCUAUGAAGGUCAUGUUGCUGACUGCAUGA
rnacentral:rRNA from 1 species